CAGUGGCCGUUUGUCGAGCCGCCCGCGCUCUGUUUCUCAGAACCUGCUCCAUUGCUUAAAUGACCAAAACUCUCUCUCUCUCGCUCUCGCUCUCGCUCUCGCUCUCGCUCUCUUUCUCUCUCAUCUCUCUCUCUAGAGGACAAUAACAAGACACUGAAUCUCCAUUUCCUUUAGCAAAGGAAGAAACCGAUCCCAUAAGAAGUCGUGGUUCAUAAGUUAAACUUAAGUUUUCAUCACUUUGAUCAUUUGGAAGGCCUGAGCUGAGCAUCAAAAUGGGCUACAUUGGCCAUCAUGGUGUAGGGGCUCUCCACAGAUAUAAAUACAGUGGUGUGGAUAAGUCUUUUCUUGCUAAACAUGUCUUACAACCCUUCUGGAGUCGCUUUGUGUCUUUAUUCCCCCUUUGGAUGCCGCCAAAUAUGAUUACGCUUUUGGGCUUUAUGUUCUUGGUGAUAUCUGUCCUCCUGGCAUAUAUGUAUUCGCCUUUCUUGGAUACUGCUCCUCCAAGGUGGGUUCAUGUUGCACAUGGAUUGCUUUUAUUUUUAUAUCAGACUUUUGAUGCUGUUGACGGGAAGCAAGCAAGGCGUACGAACUCAUCCAGUCCUUUGGGAGAACUUUUUGAUCAUGGAUGUGAUGCCCUUGCUUGUGCGUUUGAGGCCUUAGCUUUUGGAAGCUCUGUUAUGUGUGGAGGGAAUAUUUUCUGGUUCUGGGUAAUUGCAGCAGUUACAUUUUACACUGCCACAUGGGAGCACUUUUUCACAAACACCCUAAUUCUUCCAGAAGUAAAUGGGCCCACAGAAGGUCUUAUGCUGAUUUACAUGGCCCACUUUUUUACUGCUAUCGUCGGUGCACAAUGGUGGGUGCAGGAUUUCAGGAAGUCUCUACCCUUUUUGAGUUGGCUUACUUUUAUUCCUGAUGCAGAAGUUCCCAUGUAUGGCGUUGUGUUAUUUCUUAUGAUUGUUUGUGGUGUGGUACCAACGGUAGCAUUCAAUGUUUACAAUGUCUACAAAGUAGUUCAAGCCAGACGGGGAAGCAUGUUGUUAGCAUUAGCCAUGCUAAUUCCUUUCAUCGCGCUCUUGGGAGGAGUUUUAACCUGGGCUUUCCUAUCACCAUCUGAUAUCGUGCACACUCAACCAUAUUUGCUUGUUUUGGGAACUGGAUCUGCAUUUGGCUUCCUUGUGGGAAGGAUGAUUUUGGCGCACUUAUGUGAUGAACCCAAAGGAUUGAAAACUGGAAUGUGUAUGUCUCUAUUGUAUCUUCCCCUUGCCAUUGCGAAUGCUCUCUCUGCAAGACUUCUUGGCGGAACUCCUUUUAUCGAUGAGCGAAUAGUUAUGCUUGGGUAUUGUGCCUUCACAGUGGCACUCUACAUGCAUUUCGCCAUGUCUGUGGUUCAUGAAAUCACUACUGCAUUGGGCAUCUACUGCUUCAGGAUAACAAGGAAAGAAGCUUGAAGGAGCGAUGUGCAAUUUGGUUUGGUAUGAUUUACUUGCCACGAUUGAAUGUAUUUGUUAUCUGAGUUACUGGGUUCUCCUCUUAUGUCAUAUGGAAUUGCGUAUCCGGCAAGAAGGUUCAUUUCUCUAUCACAAUAAAUACUAAUUUAUGCACAUUGUGUGCAAAAUAAGAUUAAAUGUUGGAUGUAUGAGAAGUUCAUGUGAAAUGUGGCUGCAGUAUCAGUUUUUGACCCACAUUAUCAACACUAGCUUGCUCCACUGGAAAACCAAUAUCAGAGUCUUCAAGUGAAAUUAUCAUGAUGGCAUGUCGCAAACCAUUAACAUGCGUAUGUAUUUGUAUUAUGCUUUUUGGUGCUAAUGGAUCUUUGGCACGUAAUCA